UUUGGUGCCUGAAUAUGAACUGGAGUAAAUCAAACACCAGCUGACAAACCUGGCUGGGGAUCCAGAACACUGGAUUUUAGUGCUGGAUUAUAAAUUCAAUUCACAUUUGCAGCAGCAAUACAGAGUAAAUAAGGAUAGAGUCUAAGUGCCAGCUUUGCUCAGCCCAGCUCUGCUGUGCUUUCUUUUCUCCCCUAGGCCGUUCCUGGGCUUGGGGGUGAGCGCCCACAGCACAGCCGUCAACGCGCAGCCCAAACCUGCUCCAGGUGGGAGCUCUGGGGACAGCACCGUCACCAUCGUCCCUCCCACCGACACUGCCGAGGAGCCUCAGCACAAGUGCUCCAAGAAGUGCCCCGACUCCGUGACUCCCAUUGCAACCAAAGAAGUGCCGCCAGUCCUGCCAGUUUACAACCAACAGAACGGAGAGAGCUGCAUCAUCCGGACCAGCGUAGAGGAGGACAGAAGUGGCAACAUCUACAGGAGCAUCCUGCUGACUAACCAAGAGAAGGCUCCUGCUGUCAUCCAGAGAGCCCUGGAGAAGCACAGCCUGCAGUGUGGCUCGGCCGAGGAUUACGAGCUGGUACAGAUCAUCUCCGAGGACAAAGGUGGGGAAGCAGAACUCUGCUGCUGCUGCUUGACCGGUGCUGCUGCAUUUUGACGGCAAGAGUGACACGCGAAGCGACGUCAGGAACGCCACGGACACGUUGUCACAGCUGCCGGUGAGAAUAAACCCCUAAGGCUGAGUGGUGCGCCAACUCACGCUGGCUCUGCUCCCUCUCUUGCAGAGCUGGCGAUCCCACCCAAGGCGAACGUGUUCUACGCCAUGAACACCCAGGCCAACUUCCAUUUCAUCCUGAGGAGAAAAGCUGCAGCACAGGAGGAGCCUGCGCCCCAUGGAUUUUAAUGGCUGAGCCUUCUAUAGGAUUUACUGCUUAUAUUAUAAGCAUGGAAACUUUUUUUCCCCAGGUUUAGUCUGGAGUUGAUAUAUUUGAAUAUGUGACCUGUAUCUAAUGUUUGAGCUUUGUAUAAUAUUUAAUAUUUAUAUAACAAGUCUAUUACCUUUUUUCCAGUUCUUGUCUGCAGUUCAUGUAUUGUAAUACUUGAUGUUUUUAUCAUAUUUAAUCUUUACAUACUUGCAUAGAAACAUUCAUUAGUAUAUAACCUUUUUUCCACUAAUUUCUGCUUGGAGUUACUAUAUUUCCAUAGCUUAGCUUUACAGAAUAUUUGAGCUUUGUAUAAUAUUUAAUAUCUAUAGAAUAAGUACAUAACCUUUUUUCCACUAAUUUCUAAUUGCAGUUAAUAUAUUUAAACGUUGUAUCUGUAU